GGGUUUUCAAUUAUCUUUUUUUUUUUUUUUUCUGGGCAAAUAUGCAGAGUUGACAUUUGGGGCAAUGGAAUUUGCAGUUUCGGCUUCCCCCAGAUGAAUGUAUUUCGUUCUUAUCAGUCAAGCACUUGGCUAGAUGAAUUUGUCCAGUUGAAAGCUAUUCAUUCUGGUGUACAGCUCAGAGUUGUUGAACGCUGCGUUUGGUGAAGUUUUUGGG